CACCAUAGAUUUAUAACUAACCUAGAUGCCUAGUCUGUACAUCCCUAGUGAAGCCAUUUCGAGUACGACAUUAUGUCGCCCUCGUGUCAUCGUAUCCGAACGGCCCUCGCAGUACUCAAGGUCGAGUUGGUUUGUGUACACCUCCCGGUUAUAAAUUAAAAAAUACAAGAAAGAUGGUUGUUUGUGCGGUGAAUUGGUGUCACAACACAUCAGUGAAUAAAAACAAACCGCCUGAUAUAACAUUUCAUGCAUUUCCGACUGAUCCGCUUCUGUCUGCGAGAUGGACGGAAAAAAUUAGAUUAAAUAGGAACGAUGCAAUAUGGAAACCGACUAAACAUAGUCGAAUAUGCUCUCGCCAUUUUGAUGAGCAAGUAAAGUAAAUUUUAUUUGUGGAACACAGGUGUUAUAGUUAAGGUCUGUAAAACGAAACGCAACUGUCACUGUCGCACUUAUAUGGAAACUGAAAGAGAGACACAAAGCGUUUCGUUGUUCGAAGCAAUAGCGAUUGCCACCUUGGCUAGGCCUGCAGGUACAAUUACUAGUACUGACGAUAAAUAGUUAUUUGUUUUACAAGUGGAAAAGUUGUUGUUUAACCGCUCGUGCUAAUAUUGCUACUCGAGCUAAAUAAAGAUACAAAAUGUCGAAAAAUGGAAUCUUGAGCGUUGCGAGGGUUUCAAGUUACGAGAGUUAAACAAAUUUUGCCCCAAGUGAAACACAAAACUUUUCACCACACUAACCCGAAGAAAAUAUUAGUCAAAUAAAAUCAAACCAAAUCAAAUCCAAAUGAUCGUCAUUAAAUAUUUAUCAUUUAAAAUCAUUAUUCCAAAGUCAAUUCUACCAGCUAUUAUCUGUGCACAUUUGUAAAAUAAAAAAAUAAACGUUUUUUUUAUUUAAACAUUAUUUCACAAAGUACAGAAAUGCAAAGUCCUUAAAAGAAACCUUGAAAGCUUUUGCUACAAAUUUAAUAUCUACAUACACACUCCCAAAUGAUUGAUAGCCAAGUAUAAGGAUGUGGUUAAAAUCCAUCUACUUUAAGGGGAAUAAAUGAACUCUGGCAACCCGUUUUUGUAUAUAUGUGUGUGUCGCUGAGCGUAAGACACGAGCGUCGCACGCACACAUCGAUCGAGUUUCGGCUUCACUUUUGGCAGAUUAGCCUUAUGAGGACUAACUGUCUAUGUGUGAUAGGUCAGUGCUGUAUGUUAU